rnacentral:rRNA from 1 species
AGUGAACGCUGGCGGUAGGCCUAACACAUGCAAGUCGAACGGCAGCACAGUAAGAGCUUGCUCUUACGGGUGGCGAGUGGCGGACGGGUGAGGAAUACAUCGGAAUCUACUUUUUCGUGGGGGAUAACGUAGGGAAACUUACGCUAAUACCGCAUACGACCUACGGGUGAAAGCAGGGGAUCUUCGGACCUUGCGCGAUUGAAUGAGCCGAUGUCGGAUUAGCUAGUUGGCGGGGUAAAGGCCCACCAAGGCGACGAUCCGUAGCUGGUCUGAGAGGAUGAUCGGCCACACUGGAACUGAGACACGGUCAAGACUCCUACGGGAGGCAGCAGUGGGGAAUAUUGGACAAUGGGCGCAAGCCUGAUCCAGCCAUACCGCGUGGGUGAAGAAGGCCUUCGGGUUGUAAAGCCCUUUUGUUGGGAAAGAAAAGCAGCAGGUUAAUACCCCGCUGUUCUGACGGUACCCAAAGAAUAAGCACCGGCUAACUUCGU